GACAGCUUUGGCUUUAUCUUCCUUUCGUAGGAAAAGGCUAAUACCAGUACCAGUUUGUAUUACGUAAUUUUAGGUUAAGUGCGCAGUGAAGAAGUUAUAGUGCAAUUGAGUAUGAGUUUAAUAAUGAUCAGAUUAUCAGUGUUUUACAAAAACAAACUAUGACCCGGAAAAGUGUACUAAGUUCAGUAUGAUCGCCUGUGCAAUAAUUUCUCCAUUUAGUGUCAUUUAAGUGAUAGCCUACAACAUGUCAAGAGCUUUGAUUCAUAGUUUUGUAUUUCCCAAGUAUUGUGCUUUCUUAUUGAGCAAAACUAAUAUUCACAGAGCACCAGCUUUGUUAAUCCAGUCAGUAUCAAAAUCUUCUCGAUCAGGCGGAGAACUAGGGCAAACCAUAAUUCUUCUCGAGGAUGGCUUCAACAUCAGGGAAUUGCCUGUUAUCGUUAGGAAAGUGUCUAGCAACUCCACACUUUUCUGUAAAAAUAAGCAAGAAAGCAAUGUUAAAGACCUUAUAAAACCAGAAAUAUGUGUAUCUGCUAAAGAUGAUUCAGAAUCCAAAGAAAUUAUAGAUUACUUCAACAAGUGUUACACGGCAAGAGGAAUAUUUGCAAUUCUCGAAACCAUCCCCACAAAUGAAGUUACACCAGAAGUAGCUCUGUAUGCUCUGAAGAGGAUUGUUACUCUAGAAAACAACAAAACCAUAAGAAAUUCAUCACUUGGAGAAGUUUAUCAUCAUCUUGACAAAGAAACUACUUCGUCAAAUGAAGGCUUACAUGAAAACGAGACAUUCACUCGCACAGCGGUACUUACCCAGCUGGUUGAUAAAAUACUUUCCAGUACAGAUACUGAUAUUUUGCUGAGUGGAUACAUCAUUGUCAAUCGAGAUAUUAUUGGUAAAUAUAUCCAGCAAGAUAUAAAAGAUAGAUUUGUCAAUGAAAUUUUGUGUAGAGUCACUGAUGGUAAGUUUAGCAUUGAACAAACAUGUGAAGCCAUUAAAAUAUUUAGUGACAUCGCCCCUAAAUGUAAACAAACCACUGAGAAAUUGUGGGUCGGUAUAAGUGAAAAAGCUAGUAAUAUUGACCAAAGUAAUGUCAUGGAUGUGGUGCGUUCCAUUCCAUAUUUAUAUCAUAGUAGAAAACUAGUUCUUUCAGUCAUUGAAAAGAAGUUGUUGGAUUUUUGGCACACAUUAAACGGAUACAACGUUUCAGAAAUUCUUGUAAUCCUAAAACAGAUAAAUAGCAAUUCUCCUCGGAUCUUAGGAAUUUUAGGACAGUGGGUCAAUAAAAAUCUCCACACUGCAUCAGAGGAUGAUCUCAUUGAAAUCAUAAAUGGAUUUUGCUCUGUCGACUAUAAUAGUCUUGGAAUCGAGCACGCUCUAGAGCGGUAUGUCAAAGCAAAGGGUGUAUCAAUAAAAAAUCCUCUACUAAUGGCCAGUAUAAUGGACUACUGUGGAAAGUUCCGGGUCAGGUCACCUCUACUAAUGCAAGGUUCAGCAGAAUACUUGGUCGCACAUGGGAAAUCACUGACUCCUGUUCUACUACAAAGGUUGUUUUUACCACUGGGAAAACUAAAUUAUCAUCCCUCAAAUGGCCAAAGUUUUUGGAAAACCUUAGAGACCGUGCUGGAAGAGAAAUUCAUCCAGUUUCGUCCAGAAGAAGCUAUUGAUAUGCUUUUACAUUGCGUUUAUCUCCAGAAACAUCCCUUAAACUUUGUUAAGAAGGUGUUCAAUCCGUAUUUCCUAGAUAGGCUGCACUCUUACAAAAACAAAGAUGUGGUUUCUCUGGCCAGAUUGAAACUGCAGUUGUUGGACAUUGCUAUGACGCUGGAAAGUUCUCAGUAUCAGGGACCUAUCCUUCCAAAACCGAUGAGCUCGCCUCCGAUUUGGCAGGAUGGAAGAGUCAAACGGAUGGCCAACAGUAUUCGUAAUUAUCUGAGUAACAUUGCAGGAGGUCAAGACAAAGUCGUUUACAAUCUCAUACCAGCUAAAAUGCCUUCAGCGGACAUUUAUGUUAUAGAUGCUCUCAUUUUAAGUAACAAUACAAUGUUCAAAAUGUUUCCAAUUAAUUUUGAAAGAGAUUACAACAUGCACACAGCUGUUAUCAUUCACACGCCAGAACACUACUGUAGUAAAGGAAAGCACCUCGUAGGUCAGCAAGAGAUGAGGAAACGUCAUCUCCGUCAUCUUGGACUGAAAGUGGUUACCUUGGAAGUUACUAGCAUUGCUCAACUCAGGGUUCAUACAAAAGCCUUGCUGGAGUAUCUUGAAGAAAGGUUUUCUCUUGCUGAAUCGCCAUUUCCCAAAACAAAAACAUUAUAGUAUAGGGGAAAUCCUAUAGGCUUACACUACUUACACUAAAGCCUACUUAGUUAGUAUUCUUAAAGUAUUUUGCGAUUUCUUAAUUAGUGAGACGUGUCUUUCAUUAAAGUUGGUAUUAGUCAAAUAAUAUUUUUAUAUCAAAGAAAUGGACUUAAUGUUUUGCAAGAAUCAGCAAGUUCGGAUAAUUGUAGAUAAAAAAUUUUUUCUUGUAGGCAAAAGAAAAUGACUUAAGCCUAUUUCAGAAAUAUAAUAACUUUGCCUUUUCUAUUCUGCUUGAUAUUGAUUGUAACAAGGCUACCUAUUUGAUAAAAGAAGACUUAAGAUAAAAAAAAGCUUACACAAAGUGGAAUUCAAAGGAAAUAGGCAAUGCACAAUGUCAUUUAACUGUGAUCAUCAAAGUUACGCUGCAUCAUUUGGACCCGAGUGAUCAAGACACCGUUGGAGCUAGAUGUUCUUCGCUAUGUCAACAAAGUUUCGUCCGACGCCCACAAAUUAGUGAUGAGAAACAUGAAACCGGGAAUGUACGAGUACCAAGGCGAGGCCAUCUUCC